rnacentral:rRNA from 1 species
UACGUAGGGGGCAAGCGCUGUCCGGAUUUAUUGGGCGUAAAGAGCGUGUAGGCGGCUUUACAGGUCCGUUGUGAAAACUCGAGGCUCAACCUCGAGACGCCGGUGGAAACCGUAAGGCUAGAGUCCGGAAGAGGAGAGUGGAAUUCCUGGUGUAGCGGUGAAAUGCGCAGAUAUCAGGAAGAACACCCGUGGCGAAGGCGGCUCUCUGGGACGGUACUGACGCUGAGGAGCGAAAGCCAGGGGAGCAAACGGG